GGAGAGAUGGCUGAGCGGCCGAAAGCGGCGGUCUUGAAAACCGUUGAGGGCGUAAGUCCUCCGUGAGUUCGAAUCUCACUCUCUCCGCCA
rnacentral:tRNA from 1 species